rnacentral:lncRNA from 1 species
CCUCUCGCCACCCACCUUAAUAUCCUUACUAAACCUUCUUUACUUGUUAUAAUAUAAUAUUUGUGUUGAUAUUAUACAUUCAUGUUUCUCUUUCCCUUCACACCCCUAGAUGAUUAGCCCCUUGAAGGCAGGAGCCAUAUCCCAUCCAUCUUUGUACCUUUGGUGCACUUUGGUGUGGUAGCUUUGCAAUGUGUCAACUUGCCUAGACAGAACUACAUUUCCCAGAAUUUCCUCCCCUGCAUGUUUCUGGUUAGAGUGAGCCACAAAAGAGCCUCCUAUGGGACAUGUGAAGGUUGGAGGUGAAGCAGCAGCCUUUUUUGUAGCUCACACAUAUGCUGCUUGUUGCUGGUGUGGGACAGCAGGCCCCUGCUGUCCUGCUUUGGCCUCUUGGCUCCUGGGCCAGCUCUGUGAUAAAGGGCAUAAAGCAAAUAAUGACACUCUAAGGAACUGUGAACUAUUAAAGAAAAUUUAUUGCUACAUCCACUUAAGCAAUCCACGUAUUUCCAUCUUAAAUAUAGUCUUUUUAACAGGGUUUGGAAGUUAGAGUGUUGGCAUCUACCAUUCACAGAGAGCACAAGAGGUGAGGGGGUGGCAAAAUUCUGCCAGAGUGAAGACUGAACAUGCAGGAAAAGGAGAAGGGCUCCUUGGUCACUCCGCAGUAGUUAAACUCCUAGGUAGUUAAACACACUUUGGGCCGGGCACGGUGGCUCACGCCUGUAAUCCUAGCAUUUUGGGAGCCCAAGGCGGGAGGAUCACGAGGUCAGGAGUUCGAGAACAGCAUGGCCAACAUGGUGAAACCCCGUCUCUACAGUUCCAUCCAUGUCUUUGCUAUUUGUUACAAAGACAUUAGUGCCAUAUAGAUCCUGAAUUUUGUCUAAUCUUAAUUUACCUGACAUAUGUUAUGCUCAAGGACCUGUUUUGGCCGCAAGUAUGAUCAAUAGUGAGGCAGACCGGAGUGCU